rnacentral:rRNA from 1 species
ACGGCUCAGUAACACGUCGGUAACCUACCCUCGGGAGGGGGAUAACCCCGGGAAACUGGGGCUAAUUCCCCAUAGGCCUGAGGUACUGGAAGGUCCUCAGGCCGAAAGGGACUUAUGUCCGCCCGAGGAUGGGCCGGCGGCCGAUUAGGUAGUUGGUGGGGUAAUGGCCCACCAAGCCGAAGAUCGGUACGGGCUGUGAGAGCAGGAGCCCGGAGAUGGACACUGAGACACGGGUCCAGGCCCUACGGGGCGCAGCAGGCGCGAAACCUCCGCAAUGCGGGAAACCGCGACGGGGGGACCCCGAGUGCCGUGGCAACGCCACGGCUUUUCCGGAGUGUAAAAAGCUCCGGGAAUAAGGGCUGGGCAAGGCCGGUGGCAGCCGCCGCGGUAAUACCGGCGGCCCGAGUGGUGGCCGCUAUUAUUGGGCCUAAAGCGUCCGUAGCCGGGCCCGUAAGUCCCUGGCGAAAUCCCACGGCUCAACCGUGGGGCUUGCUGGGGAUACUGCGGGUCUUGGGACCGGGAGAGGCGGGGGGUACCCCUGGGAUAGGGGUGAAAUCCUAUAAUCCCAGGGGGACCGCCAGUGGCGAAGGCGCCCCGCUGGAACGGGUCCGACGGUGAGGGACGAAGGCCAGGGGAGCAAACCGGAUUAGAUACCCGGGUAGUCCUGGCUGUAAAGGAUGCGGGCUAGGUGUCGGGUGAGCCUCGAGCUCGCCCGGUGCCGUAGGGAAGCCGUUAAGCCCGCCGCCUGGGGAGUACGGCCGCAAGGCUGAAACUUAAAGGAAUUGGCGGGGGAG